rnacentral:rRNA from 1 species
UACAGAGGUGGCAAGCGUUGUUCGGAAUUACUGGGCGUAAAGGGCGCGUAGGCGGCCAUUUAAGUCAGACGUGAAAUCCCCCGGCUUAACCGGGGCAUUGCGUCUGAUACUGGAUGGCUCGAGUGCGGGAGAGGAAUGCGGAAUUCCAGGUGUAGCGGUGAAAUGCGUAGAUAUCUGGAGGAACACCGGUGGCGAAGGCGGCAUUCUGGACCGACACUGACGCUGAGGCGCGAAAGCCAGGGGAGCAAACGGG